UGGGGAUGACGUCAAGUCCUCAUGGCCUUUAUGACCAGGGCUACACACGUACUACAAUGGCCGAUACAAAGGGCAGCGACACUGCGAGGUGAAGCCAAUCCCGUAAAAUCGGUCUCAGUCCGGAUUGGAGUCUGCAACUCGACUGCGUGAAGUCGGAAUCGCUAGUAAUCGUGAAUCAGAAUGUCACGGUGAAUACGUUCCCGGGCCUU
rnacentral:rRNA from 1 species